rnacentral:rRNA from 1 species
AUGAACGCUGGCGGCGUGCCUAAUCCAUGCAAGUCGAACGGGGAGUAGCAAUACUCUUAGUGGCGAACGGGUGAGUAACGCGUUGGUACCUGCCCCGAAGCGGGGGAUAACGGACCGAAAGGUCCGCUAAUACCCCAUGUGCUCGGUAACGAGUAAAGGUGAAAACCACUUUGGGAGGGGCCUGCGUCCCAUCAGCUAGUUGGUAAGGUAACGGCUUACCAAGGCGAUGACGGGUAGGGGACCUGAGAGGGUGGCCCCCCACAAUGGAACUGAAACACGGUCCAUACACCUACGGGUGGCAGCAGUAGGGAAUAUUGGUAAUGGGCGCAAGCCUGAACCAGCAACGCCGCGUGUGCGAUGACGGCCUUCGGGUUGUAAAGCACUUUUGACUGGGACGAGGAAGGACGGUACCGGUCGAAUCAGCCUCGGCUAACUACGUG